UACAGAGGGUGCAAGCGUUGUUCGGAAUUAUUGGGCGUAAAGCGCGUGUAGGCGGCUUUGCAAGUCGGGUGUGAAAGCCCUCAGCUCAACUGAGGAAGUGCGCCCGAAACUGCAGAGCUUGAGUGCCGGAGAGGGUGGCGGAAUUCCCCAAGUAGAGGUGAAAUUCGUAGAUAUGGGGAGGAACACCGGUGGCGAAAGCGGCUUCCUGGACCAGUACCGACGUUCAGGCACGAAAGCGUGGGGAGCAAACAGG
rnacentral:rRNA from 1 species